AUGGUCAAUGCAUAGGAGGACGCAAAGCACUCAGUAGAAAAGUCGUCCGUGGUCAGACGUUCAUCUAUCGUAUUUCCUGUUGGAGAGAAGUCGACUAAGAAGUAUACACGCAUAAAUCGUGCGCAUAAAAAAUGUACAUAAAUUUUGAUCAGCACUCGAGGAAAAGCGUAGCACUUGAUGAAAAGAUAUCGCUUUCCAUUCAUGAAAGAAGAGACUCAAAGAUCAUAAACAGAUGAGGAAGAACGAGGUCGUCCCCUAAAGAACGAGGUCAAAGGAAAU